rnacentral:rRNA from 1 species
UACGGAGGGUGCAAGCGUUGUCCGGAUUUAUUGGGUUUAAAGGGUGCGUAGGCGGCUCUUUAAGUCAGUGGUGAAAGCCUCCAGCUUAACUGGAGAACAGCCAUUGAUACUGAAGAGCUUGAGUACAGACGAGGUAGGCGGAAUUUAUGGUGUAGCGGUGAAAUGCAUAGAUACCAUAAAGAACUCCUAUUGCGAAGGCAGCUUACUAGGCUGUAACUGGCGCUGAGGCACGAAAGCGUGGGGAUCAAACAGG